UACGGAGGGUGCAAGCGUUGUCCGGAUUUAUUGGGUUUAAAGGGUGCGUAGGCGGCUAAUUAAGUCAGCGGUGAAAAUUCCACAGCUUAACUGUGGAACUGCCAUUGAUACUGGUUGGCUUGAGUACAGAUGAGGUAGGCGGAAUUGACAGUGUAGCGGUGAAAUGCUUAGAUAUUGUCAAGAACACCUAUUGCGAAGGCAGCUUACUAAGCUGUAACUGACGCUGAGGCACGAAAGCGUGGGGAUCAAACAGG
rnacentral:rRNA from 1 species